AGUGAACGCUGGCGGUAGGCCUAACACAUGCAAGUCGAACGGCAGCACAGGAGAGCUUGCUCUCUGGGUGGCGAGUGGCGGACGGGUGAGGAAUACAUCGGAAUCUACUUUUUCGUGGGGGAUAACGUAGGGAACCUUACGCUAAUACCGCAUACGACCUACGGGUGAAAGCAGGGGACCUUCGGGCCUUGCGCGAUUGAAUGAGCCGAUGUCGGAUUAGCUAGUUGGCGGGGUAAAGGCCCCACAAGGCGACGAGCCGUAGCUGGUCUGAGAGGAUGAUCAGCCACACUGGAACUGAGACACGGUCCAGACUCCUACGGGAGGCCGCAGUGGGGAAUAUUGGACAAUGGGCGCAAGCCUGAUCCAGCCAUACCGCGUGGGUGAGGAAGGCCUUCGGGUUGUAAAGCCCUUUUGUUGGGAAAGAAAUCCAGCUGGCUAAUACCCGGUUGGGAUGACGGUACCCAAAGAAUAAGCACCGGCUAACUUCGUGCCAGCAGCCGCAGUAA
rnacentral:rRNA from 1 species